CAUUCGCUGUGAAUCUCCACCCCGUAUUGAACAUGGAGAUGUUAUGGAGCUUUCAGGUGCACACGAAUUAAGAGUUCAGUGUGCGAGACUUUAUAAACUCGUAGGACCUGAAACAGUAACAUGUGUGAAUAAAAAGUGGACGGAGCUCCCAGUGUGUAAACCUCCGUGUGAACAGGAGGAAACUGGGGAAUAUUUGAUGGAGGGUGAAAAGAAGAAAGUGUUUUGCGAUAAAAUAAAAAAAAUUAAAAAAAAGACUGUCCAGUGUGUGAAUGGACAGCUUCAAAUAAGUGAAUGUAGAUUCAUGUGGCCUUGGGAGUGACCUGCAUCAACAGCUGAACCUGAAAGAGCUCCUGCUGCCCAUCAGAAAUCUUCCUUCUCACCUGUUUUAUUCCUGAGUUAUAAUUCAGCAGUUGGAGUUUAGUAGUUACAGUGAAGCUUAAAGAAACAUCUACACACUGUAUACAUCUCAUUUCAAUAUUAUUAAAUAUAAAGAAAAAUGAAUAAAGUUUAUGAUCAAAUGAUGAUA